rnacentral:rRNA from 1 species
GCUUAGAGUUUGAUCCUGGCUCAGGAUGAACGCUGGCGGCGUGCUUAACACAUGCAAGUCGAACGGUCUCUUCGGAGAUAGUGGCGGACGGGUGAGUAACGCGUGAGAAUCUGCCUUUAGGUUCGGGACAACAGUUGGAAACGACUGCUAAUACCGAAUGUGUCGCAAGAUGAAAGAUUUAUUGCCUAAAGAUGAGCUCGCGUCUGAUUAGCUAGUUGGUGGGGUAAAAGCGUACCAAGGCGACGAUCAGUAGCUGGUCUGAGAGGAUGAUCAGCCACACUGGGACUGAGACACGGCCCAGACUCCUACGGGAGGCAGCAGUGGGGAAUUUUCCGCAAUGGGCGAAAGCCUGACGGAGCAACGCCGCGUGAGGGAGGAAGGCUUUUGGGUUGUAAACCUCUUUUCUCAAGGAAGAUAAUGACGGUACUUGAUGAAUCUGCAUCGGCUAACUCCGUGCCAGCAGCCGCGGUAAUACGGAGGAUGCAAGCGUUAUCCGGAAUAAUUGGGCGUAAAGCGUUCGUAGGUGGUUUUGCAAGUCUGCUGUUAAAGCGUGUAGCUUAACUACAUAAUGGCGGUGGAAACUGCAAAACUAGAGUGCGUUCGGGGCAGAGGGAAUUCCUGGUGUAGCGGUGAAAUGCGUAGAUAUCAGGAAGAACACCGGUGGCGAAGGCGCUCUGCUAGGCCGCAACUGACACUGAGGGACGAAAGCUAGGGGAGCGAAUGGGAUUAGAUACCCCAGUAGUC